UUCAUUUGCUGGCCCCUGGGAAGGCUUCACUGAGAGAUGCAUGCAAAGAGGGAUUUAUGAAGGAUGUAUUGGGCUUCUCACAUCAAGAAGCUGUCCAGGCAACAGGAACAAGUAGAGGGUGUCCACAGAGGCAUGAGAUGGGAAAGUGACUUGGAUGGCUACAGGGAUGCAGCCACUCUAUGCCACCAGUCCCUUAUUCCACAUCUUGGUAACUUCUAUGACAAGCGAUGAAGAGAGAGCCAAGUGAAGAGAGAACAGGCUGCCUGGGCACAGGGAAGAUUCAGAAAGAAACUGGACAAUUAUUAAUACCCAUGGCAAGGGAGGAUCAGGCUCCUUUCAUAGACUAUUUUAUCUAGUCAUGGAAAUGAAA